UGGAUGAGGCACGCAAGUCGAAUGGGUUUAGACCCAUGGCAGACGAGGUAGGAACACGUAGGUACGUACCGGAGAGUCAGGGAUAACCCGGCGAAAGUCGGAAUAAUACUUGAUAGUCCCGCAAGGGUAAAGAUUUAUCGCUCUCUGAACGGCCUGCGUUCUAUCAGCUUGUUGGUAAGGUAACGGCUUACCAAGGCUACGACGGAUAGGGGAGGUGAGAGCCUGACCCCCACCGAUGGAACUGCGACACGGUCCAUACUCCUACGGGAGGCCGCAGUCGAGAAUCUUCCGCAAUGGACGAAAGUCUGACGGAGCGACGCCGCGUGGUGGAUGAAGUCCUUAGGGACGUAAACACCUUUUAUGAGGGAGGAAGUUUAUUGACGUUACCUCAUGAAUAAGGGGCUCCCAAUUCUGUGCCAGCAGGAGCGGUAAUACAGAAGCCCCGAGCAUUACCCGGAUUCACUGGGCGUAAAGGGUGCGUAGGCGGUUAUAUUAGUCGGGUGUUAAAUCCUGGGGCUCAACCUCAGGCUCGCAUUCGAAACGGUAUAACUAGAAGAUGUGAGAGGUAAACAGAACUCAAGGUGUAGGGGUGAAAUCCGUUGAUAUCUUGGGGAAUACCAAAUGCGAAGGCAGUUUACUGGCACAUUCUUGACGCUGAGGCACGAAAGCGUGGGUAGCGAACGGGAUUAGAUACCCCGGUAGUCCACGCCCUAAACGCUGUCUGCUAGCUAUGGGGAGUAUCGACCCUCUCCGUGGCGUAGGUAACCCGUUAAGCAGACCGCCUGGGUAGUACGAGCGCAAGCUUAAAACUCAAAGGAAUAGACGGGGGCUCGCACAAGCGGUGGAGCGCGUGGCUUAAUUCGUCGCUAAGCGAAGAACCUUACCGAGGCUAGAUAUCCUACUGCACGCUUAGGGAAACCUAAGAAGCCUUCGAGGGUGUAGGACAGGUGAUGCAUGGCCGUCGUCAGUUCGUGGCUUGAGCUGUUCCCUUAAGUGGGGAAACGAACGCAACCCUCGUUG
rnacentral:rRNA from 1 species